AUGCAAGUUCCGGAAUACUUCGUGUGCAACCCUGCGACCGACAAGAUCUGGGCAGUGCUGCCUGCGCUUGAUGUGCCAGAGCCUCAAGUUCCCUACAUCUACAUGGUGGGCCAACAUGUAACCUGGAGCUGCAAGUUCUGUUUGUGUUUCAACCCCGCCGUUCCCUCUCGCUUCGUGGUUUUCGCGUUCGUUGAGAGAGGCCACACCAUAGUGGCAGUAAGGGUCUACUCAUCCGAUACCGGAGAAUGGAUUUCCACAGAGAGCGGUGGCCAUAUCGUGGCAUAUGGUGUGGACACGGACGGGGAUACUUGGAGGAGAAUUCCAAUGCCACCCGAAGCUCAUUUUUCUUUCAUUGGGCACUCUCAGGGACACUUAUACGGUAUGGGCAUAGAGCAUGUUAAUGAUUGCGUGCUAUCGGUUUGGGCUCUCAAGGAUUAUCCCAGUGGAAAGUGGACCUUAAAACAUACUGCCAGCAUCUUGAAACUGCUAGGAAGGUCUUAUCGUGAGCUCGGUGAACAAUAUAUGGUGGCUGCGGUCCAUCCAGAAUGUAACCUGAUCUUCCUUGUUGGUUGGAUGAGAUCGCAAGAGACACUUAUGUCGUAUGAUAUGGAUAGUCAGAAACUGAACGUUAUCUGCACUCUUGACGAUUACCACAUGUCAACGCUCCGACCUUACAUUCCCUGCUUUGCGGAAUGGCCGCCGUCAGAUGCUCACUGA
rnacentral:rRNA from 1 species